CCUACGGGAGGCAGCAGUGGGGAAUAUUGCACAAUGGGGGAAACCCUGAUGCAGCGACGCCGCGUGAGUGAAGAAGUAAUUCGUUAUGUAAAGCUCUAUCAGCAGGGAAGAAAAUGACGGUACCUGAGUAAGAAGCCCCGGCUAACUACGUGCCAGCAGCCGCGGUAAUACGGAGGGGGCAAGCGUUAUCCGGAUUUACUGGGUGGAAAGGGAGCGUAGACGGCAUGGCAAGUAUGGAGUGAAAGGCGGGGGCUCAACCCCCGGACUGCUCUGGAAACUGUACGGCUGGAGUGCAGGAGAGGUAAGUGGAAUUCCUAGUGUAGCGGUGAAAUGCGUAGAUAUUAGGAGGAACACCAGUGGCGAAGGCGGCUUACUGGACUGUAACUGACGUUGAGGCUCGAAAGCGUGGGGAGCAAACAGGAUUAGAUACCCGAGUAGUC
rnacentral:rRNA from 1 species